GACGAACGCUGGCGGCGUGCUUAACACAUGCAAGUCGAACGGAAAGGCCCUGCUUUUGUGGGGUGCUCGAGUGGCGAACGGGUGAGUAACACGUGAGUAACCUGCCCUUGACUUUGGGAUAACUUCAGGAAACUGGGGCUAAUACCGGAUAGGAGCUCCUGCUGCAUGGUGGUGGUUGGAAAGUUUCGGCGGGGGGGGAUGGACUCGCGGCUUAUCAGCUUGUUGGUGGGGUAGUGGCUUACCAAGGCUUUGACGGGUAGCCGGCCUGAGAGGGGGACCGGCCACAUUGGGACUGGGAAACGGCCCAGACUCCUGCGGGGGGGAGGAGGGGGGAAUAUUGCAAAAUGGGGGGAAGCCUGAUGCAGCGACGCCGCGGGGGGGAUGACGGCCUUCGGGUUGUAAACCCCUUUCGCCCGGGACGAAGCUGUGUGUGAGGGUAGCGGGAAAAGAAGCACCGGCUAACUACGUG
rnacentral:rRNA from 1 species